rnacentral:rRNA from 1 species
UACGGCCAUAUAACGUUGAAACACCGGUUUCUAUACGAUCAUCAAAGUUAAGCAACAUCUAAUCUGGUCAGUACCUAGAUGGGUGACCACUUGGGAAUAUCAGAUGCUGUAAG